rnacentral:rRNA from 1 species
GUAGGGUGGGCAAGCGUUGUCCGGAAUUAUUGGGCGUAAAGCGCGCGCAGGGCGGUCCUUUAAGUCUGAUGUGAAAGCCCACGGCUCAACCGUGGAGGGUCAUUGGAAACUGGGGGACUUGAGUACAGAAGAGGAAAGCGGAAUUCCAAGUGUAGCGGUGAAAUGCGUAGAGAUUUGGAGGAACACCAGUGGCGAAGGCGGCUUUCUGGUCUGUAACUGACGCUGAGGCGCGAAAGCGUGGGGAGCAAACAGGAUUAGAUACCCUGGUAGUCCACGCCGUAAACGAUGAGUGCUAAGUGUUAGGGGGUUUCCGCCCCUUAGUGCUGCAGCUAACGCAUUAAGCACUCCGCCUGGGGAGUACGGCCGCAAGGCUG